CUUGUGGAGUGCUAUAUCAAAUUGUGGUAGCGAAUAAGUGGCGAAGCGAGGCACAUAGAAGCAAGAA
rnacentral:ncRNA from 1 species